rnacentral:tRNA from 1 species
GCGGGAAUAGCUCAGUUGGUAGAGCACGACCUUGCCAGGGUCGCGAGUUCGAGUCUCGUUUCCCGCUCCA